rnacentral:lncRNA from 1 species
AACAGAAUGGUUCGGGUGGGAAAGGGCCAUCAAGACUGCUGUUCCAAGCUCAUGCCAUGGGCAGGGACAGCUUCCACUAGGUCAGGUUGCGCAAAGGUGCCUCCAGCCUGGCCUGGAGCACUGCCAGGGAUGGGGCGCGCACAGCCUCUGGGGGCAGCCUGUGCCAGUGCCUCAGCACCCUCACGGUGCCGAGUCUUUCUUCCUCAUAUCUCAUCCAAAUCUCCCCUCUUCUACUUUUCAGGCACUGUCCUUUGUUGUAUCACUACCCUCCCUUACAACGAGUCCCUCUCCAGCUUUCCCCAGUCCUCCUUCAGGCACUGGAAGGCUGCUCUGUGGUGUCCCCAGAGCCUCCCCUCCCCCGGGCUGGACAAUCCCCACUCUUGCAGUGUGCCAUCUCACCUGGACGUGAGCAUCCUUCACAGCCGGUCGACUGGAGCCCUGCUCUGCACAGUGGCGGCCCAGAGCUCUCUCUCUGUCCUG